CCUUAAUAACCUCAAUCAAGAAAUUGAAAACCAUGUGGGAGAUAGAGAGCACACAGGCAGCUGGACCAAGAGAUUUGACAACACGCAAAUCAGCAAUUCUUAGGAAGUCAAGUUGUUCAACAACUGCUCCAGAUAUUAAUGUCUGAAAUGAAAAAUUGAAGAAGUUGAAGAAGAUGCAAAAAUGCACAUGACUGUAUAGUUUUCUUUUGAUCUAUGUUUCUAGUAGUUUCCACUGAGAAAGUAGUUUCUUUAUGUACAGUUCUGAAAAAACUUUACACUUUCAGAGUUAUUUUUCCUCUUUCUUAAAGUCUCACUUAAGACAGCAGAAGUCUCUCAGCUGCUGUCUCUGCUAGCAUUCUGCUGUUCUUUUGCCAGCAAUAUCCAGCCUCCUCCCCCAAACACUGGAGAUCAAGGAUUUGUGUUCCUCAGAGUCCUGCACGAUACCUAUGGUCUGGAUCAUAAUAACUGAGGGAUGGAGUAGUCAGUCUCACAUUACAGGAAAGACACAGUAGCAUUUCCUACUCCGUAGUCAUGCCAUACUCCAAGCAUGCCUGCCUAAGUCUGCACAUCAAACGCAGCUGCCAAAUACUUCUGUUUCAGACUAUGACACCUAAAAUUCCAUGUUGCUUUUAUCUGAUGUAGUCAGUACAAUUCACUGACUCCAAAUUUACAUGAACCACCUAUUUAUACAUUGCUAGAGGGAACUUACUGUACUACAGUAUUACUGAGACUUUUUGAUAAGAGUUUGUAUGUUAAAUUCCUUUUUCAUUGUACACAAGUUGCAGAAAAAUACUGCACUGUUACAACUGUGAGAAGAAUGAAUUAAAAAAAUGCUUUGCUUUUA